AACGAACGCUGGCGGCAGGCUUAACACAUGCAAGUCGAACGCGUGUAGCAAUACACGAGUGGCGCACGGGUGAGUAACGCGUGGAUAUCUGCCUUUUGGUUCGGAAUAACUCCGGGAAACUGGAGCUAAUACCGGAUGGUUCCUACGGGAUAAAGAUUUAUCGCCAAAAGAUGAGUCCGCGUACGAUUAGCUAGUUGGUGAGGUAAUGGCUCACCAAGGCGACGAUCGUUAGCUGGUCUGAGAGGACGAUCAGCCACACUGGGACUGAGACACGGCCCAGACUCCUACGGGAGGCAGCAGUGGGGAAUAUUGGACAAUGGGGGCGAACCCUGAUCCAGCCAUGCCGCGUGAGUGAUGAAGGCC
rnacentral:rRNA from 1 species